CAGGUCUUGACAUCCUCUGACAACCCUAGAGAUAGGGCUUUCCCUUCGGGGACAGAGUGACAGGUGGUGCAUGGUUGUCGUCAGCUCGUGUCGUGAGAUGUUGGGUUAAGUCCCGCAACGAGCGCAACCCUUGAUCUUAGUUGCCAGCAUUUAGUUGGGCACUCUAAGGUGACUGCCGGUGACAAACCGGAGGAAGGUGGGGAUGACGUCAAAUCAUCAUGCCCCUUAUGACCUGGGCUACACACGUGCUACAAUGGACAGAACAAAGGGCUGCGAGACCGCAAGGUUUAGCCAAUCCCACAAAUCUGUUCUCAGUUCGGAUCGCAGUCUGCAACUCGACUGCGUGAAGCUGGAAUCGCUAGUAAUCGCGGAUCAGCAUGCCGCGGUGAAUACGUUCCC
rnacentral:rRNA from 1 species